AGUUUGAUUAUGGCUCAGGAUGAACGCUGGCGGCGUGCCUAACACAUGCAAGUCGAACGAAGCAUACGGACUGGAGAUUCGUCGAAGGACCGUAUGACUUAGUGGCGGACGGGUGAGUAAUGUAUGAGCAACCUGCCUUUCAGAGGGGGACAACAGUUGGAAACGACUGCUAAUACCGCGUAACGUAUCGUGGGGGCAUCCUCGUGAUACCAAAGGAGCAAUCCGCUGAAAGAUGGGCUCAUAUCUGAUUAGCUUGUUGGCGGGGUAACGGCCCACCAAGGCGACGAUCAGUAGCCGGACUGAGAGGUUGAACGGCCACAUUGGGACUGAGAUACGGCCCAGACUCCUACGGGAGGCAGCAGUGGGGAAUAUUGGGCAAUGGGCGAAAGCCUGAACCCCAGCAACGCCGCGUGAAGGAAGAAGGUCUUCGGAUUGUAAACUUCUUUUAUGAGGGACGAAGGACGUGACGGUACCUCAUGAAUAAGCCACGGCUAACUACGUGCCAGCCGCAGC
rnacentral:rRNA from 1 species